rnacentral:rRNA from 1 species
AGCGGCGGACGGGUGAGUAACACGUGGGUAACCUGCCCAAGAGACUGGGAUAACACCUGGAAACAGAUGCUAAUACCGGAUAACAACACUAGACGCAUGUCUAGAGUUUGAAAGAUGGUUCUGCUAUCACUCUUGGAUGGACCUGCGGUGCAUUAGCUAGUUGGUAAGGUAACGGCUUACCAAGGCAAUGAUGCAUAGCCGAGUUGAGAGACUGAUCGGCCACAUUGGGACUGAGACACGGCCCAAACUCCUACGGGAGGCAGCAGUAGGGAAUCUUCCACAAUGGACGAAAGUCUGAUGGAGCAACGCCGCGUGAGUGAAGAAGCGUUUCGGCUCGUAAAGCUCUGUUGGUAGUGAAGAAAGAUAGAGGUAGUAACUGGCCUUUAUUUGACGGUAAUUACUUAGAAAGUCACGGCUAACUACGUGCCAGCAGCCGCGGUAAUACGUAGGUGGCAAGCGUUGUCCGGAUUUAUUGGGCGUAAAGCGAGUGCAGGCGGUUCAAUAAGUCUGAUGUGAAAGCCUUCGGCUCAACCGGAGAAUUGCAUCAGAAACUGUUGAACUUGAGUGCAGAAGAGGAGAGUGGAACUCCAUGUGUAGCGGUGGAAUGCGUAGAUAUAUGGAAGAACACCAGUGGCGAAAGCGGCUCUCUGGUCUGCAACUGACGCUGAGGCUCGAAAGCAUGGGUAGCGAACAGGAUUAGAUACCCUGGUAGUCCAUGCCGUAAACGAUGAGUGCUAAGUGU